rnacentral:tRNA from 1 species
UGCCCAGAUACGCCAAUUGGUGAGCGGCCUGACUUAGAUUCAGGUGCCUGCAGGUUCGAAUCCUGCUCUGGGCAUC